GAGCUGGCUUUUGUCCCUUGCACAUCCCUCUGUCCUUGCAGUGGAAAAGAUUUCAAAGCACUUUGCAAGAGCUGAUGGUUUUCCUUGUGUGCUUUCUUAUCAGUGUGCUGUGGGCUAUAGUGCCAGUGUAACAGCAGAGGGCAACUUCAUGGGGUCUGUGCAAGUCCAGGGCUAGCAGGGCAAUGUGUGCUGACACAGCUACUGCUCUACGGUUAGAUGCAAUCUUUCUGUGUAAGCACACCCUGUUUGCACCCUUCAGAAGGGGAUGAUGGCCCACAGCCUGCUGACUUGCUCACCAUCUCCAUGUAAAUGCAACCAGAUUGUCUUCGGGCAUGGAAGAGCUGGAAGGCUGCCACAGGUCCCAGCACAGUUGGCCAUCAUCUCCUCUGUUCUCUGGAGGGAGGCAGGCCCAGCAAGGGCUCCCUGUUGCUAUACAAUCUCUGCUAACGGCUGGGCACUAGGACGGUGCCAGAGUAUCUCCAGGAGAUGUGAGACUGUUAACACAGUGACUGAAUGAGCAGAUGCGGAUUCCCAGGAAAGGCAGCCAAUUCUCACCUGGGAAGAGAUGCACAAGAGUUUCUAUUUGAAUCAACAUCCAAAGACACAGAAACACAGAAACUGCUAAAGGACAUACUCAAAUUUGAGGUAGAGUCCAAGCCAGGAGGUCAAUGAAAUUCAAGGUGGGGGCAUCCUUGAAUCACCUAUGCCCACGUCAGCUGAGAAGCAGCCAGAGUGCUUCUCCCCUAGGACUGCUGUACUUUGUCCUACAUCAGGCCUUUGCAAGUCACAUCAGAAUGUCCAGAGUUAUCCUCCCACUGCUGCGAGGGUUCACUGCCCCUAUGAAUCAGACACAGCACACAGGCAAAAAAAAUAACGUUGCCAUCCCAACAGCUUGCAGUCAAAAUCAGAGAAGAGAAAAAGCAGAGUGAUAAAACAAACAGAAGAGAAAAGGCAGUUCAAUUGGUAACGUAGCAAUGUUAGGUGAUGUUCCAUAACCCCGAUCUGUAAGGACAGCUCCUGCCCUCACUGCGCAGCCAUUCAGCUCUGAUACCUGUUGAAGCUCCAGAGGCAAAUCAUCUGAACUGU
rnacentral:lncRNA from 1 species